GUUUGUGAAUAAGGCAAGUUUUAAUGUAAACAUGACAUGGCCAUACAAUAUGUUAGCUUUUUCUGGUUAAUAUUGAUUAAGCAUAAUUACAAAGUGCAUCUCCCUAUUAAUGUCAAAACAUACUUUUCUAGCUGAACCGACAUGUGUGCAAACUCCUCAACAUCAAGCGUUCUUUAUGUGCACCCUAUCACCCACAAACAAAUGGACUUGUGGAAAGGAUGAAUUCUACCAUACAGAGAGCUCUUUGCAAGCUUGUCAAAGACAAGGCAAAGGACUGGGAUAAGCAUCUUGAUGCUGUCAUGUUUGGUAUACGUACAAAAGACAAAUGACAACAAAGUUCUCCCCUUACUUUUUAAUGGGAGUGAGACCCGUUAUCCUUGUGAGAUUCCAGAGGAUUACAGGAUCAACCAAAGCGUGGAAGAAAUGGUGUCUGUUGAGCAAGUGACAGAAUCUGCAGUAAGACUCAGUGAAGCUUUGCUUGAGGUUGAGGAAAACAUUAAAACCUCCUAAAGAAAAUGUUUAAAAAGUAAAAUCAUCCACCAAACAUUUUAAAGAGUGAGACAAAGUGUGGAGACUGAAUGUGAGAAGCCAACAGCGGAAAGGCAGAAAACUUGAGGCAAACUACCUUGGUCCAUUCACAAUAUCUGCAUUGGAUGGAAAGAGUGCUAACCUGAAGAAUGUGAGGGUUGUCAAAAAAACUAAAAAUAAACAUUGACCAUUUAAAGCCUUAUUUUGAAGACAUUCCUAAAGUCCCUUAAGUAACAAAAACCCUCAAAUUUCUCUGAAAUAUCAAAAAAUGCAAUUGCCUGUACUCCGGCCCAUAUUCCUGCCUCUUCAGUCAGCUCUACGCCACAGGGUACUGGUCAAAUCCCUCCUGCAUCUCCGGUCAGCUCUGCACAACAGACUUCAAUUCAUAUACAAACUUCCACACCAGACUUUAGUACAAAUUCCUCCUACCUUGCCACUCAGCUCCUCUCCAUAUACUCCAGUACAAAUUCCUUCUGUCUCGCCAGUCAGCU